UACGUAGGGUCCGAGCGUUGUCCGGAAUUAUUGGGCGUAAAGGGCUCGUAGGCGGUUUGUCGCGUCGGGAGUGAAAACUUACAGCUUAACUGUGAGCGUGCUUCCGAUACGGGCAGACUUGAGGUAUUCAGGGGGAGAACGGAAUUCCUGGUGUAGCGGUGAAAUGCGCAGAUAUCAGGAGGAACACCGGUGGCGAAGGCGGUUCUCUGGGAAUAUCCUGACGCUGAGGAGCGAAAGUGUGGGGAGCGAACAGG
rnacentral:rRNA from 1 species